AACGCACAUUGCGCUCCCUGGUAUUCCGGGGAGCAUGCCCGUUUCAGAAUCAUUUUAAUAUCUCACCAAGUUAUGGGCGCAAGCUCAUAAUCAGGUGGAAUUUGGAUGUUUUGUCUCUGUACAAUCAUCUUAAAAUGAUCGUAUGUGCUUGAGUGUGCUCUGGCAGUUGGGUACCAACGUGCAACAGAUUUUAUCUUUUCGCUUUGGUAUUUAAUUGAAAUCAGGUACCUGAAGCAUAUAUUUGCUGGCUUACAGAUGUUAUGCAUAAUGCAUGUAUAGCUUCUGAUAACUUGGUCUGAAAUCGGGCAAGAAAACCCGCUGAACUUAA
rnacentral:misc_RNA from 1 species